UUUCCGUAGGUGAACCUGCGGAAGGAUCAUUAUUGUAUAACCGAGGUGCGAGGGCUGUCGCUGACCCGAAAGGUCGUGCACGCUCGAGUGCCCUCACACACAUCCAUCUCACCCCUAUGUGCACCACCGCGUGGGUCCCCCUUUGGCUUGUUCGGAGGGGGGCUUACGUUUUCACACAAACUUUGUAUGCAGUGUAGAAUGUAUUUUUUGUUUUUGCGAUCACGCAAUCAAUACAACUUUCAACAACGGAUCUCCUGGCUCUCGCAUCGAUGAAGAACACAGC
rnacentral:misc_RNA from 1 species